rnacentral:rRNA from 1 species
AUUGAACGCUGGCGGCAGGCCUAACACAUGCAAGUCGAGCGAGCGGCGGACGGGUGAGUAAUGUCUGGGAAACUGCCUGAUGGAGGGGGAUAACUACUGGAAACGGUAGCUAAUACCGCAUACCAUCAGAUUUGCCCAGAUGGGAUUGGCUGGCAGCUGGGGUAACGGCUCACCUAGUCGACGAUCCCUAGCGGGUCUGAGAGGAUGACCAGCCACGCUGGAACGGAGACACGGUCCAGACUCCUACGGGAGGCAGCAGUGGGGAAUAUUGGAGAAUGGGCGCAAGCCUGAUUCAGCCAUGCCGCGUGUAUGAAGAAGGCCUUCGGGUUGUAAAGCACUUUCGGCGGGGAGGCGUUACCCGCAGAAGAAGCACCGGCUAACUCCGUGCCAGCAGCCGCGGUAAUAC